UGUAUUUCACUAUUCAAGGAAAAAGUGGGAGAGCGAAUACAGAUAAAUCAGAAGCUUCCAUCCUUUUACCAAGAAGCAGCCAUAAUUGCCCCUGAGAAAGUCUUAAAGUUUAGAGUCAUCCUUCGAGAUGGAAAGAGGGUUCCUCAAGGACUCAUUAAAUGGCUGAAUUUGUCAGAUGAGGAGGCAACCUGGGAAGACAAAUCCUUUAUUUUGCACUAGUUUCCACAUUCAGCUCUUCUUGGGGACAAGAAGAAUCCCUUGGGGACAAAAAAAAUCUCUUGGGGAGGGUAUUGUAACGUACCACAGAAGGAAGAAGAAGGGAGAAUAAGCUAUUGUAAUUGUUGUAAUUGAAUAAAGGAAUUGGAGGAAAAAAAUGUUUAGUUAGAAGGUAGUUAGUCUUGUACACAUAUAAAAGGAGAGAACUCUACUCUGUGAAGGCAUUUGAGAAUGAUCAAUAAUAUCUCUUCCUAUCUUCUCACCUCACUCUCUCUCUCUUUCUCACCCUUCUUUCCUCAUCUCCUUUCUAAUUCUUCCCUCAUCUAAGUCUAUUCUCCUUCUCAUCCCCAAUUCUUCUUCUUUUCUCAUCUCUAUUUUCUAUUCCCAGCCAUUGUGCUAACACUGUACUACCUCUAGCUAUAACAAACUUCUAUCCAUAACAAUCCCUAUAACAAUCCAUACAGCUAUAGUAUUUUCCCACCCAAAGUCUUUAUGCAUUUUAUUUCCUCUUAUUUCUAUAUUUCUUCUUAUAAUAAAUGACAAUAUCUUUUGACCUUUUUUCUUAAUUCAAUAAAAGACUCAAAUGUUCAACAUUCCAUAAUUUAAAACUAAAAUGUUUGAUUGGGAAGUAUUUAAAAGGGGAUUGUAAGUGUACUUGUUCAGUUUAUUUGGAAUGAAAACAUUAAUUUUUAUUAAAGAAAAUAUGUUGUAAUAUUCCCGAUUUGUUUUAAACAUUGUAGAAGGAUAAUAUUUGUUGUAUUUCACAAUAGAGAUUACAACCUAUUUAUACAUGAGAGACGGUAUCUAAACAGGAAGAAAAAUCAAGCCUAUGAUUAUACAAUCCCUAAGAUUAAGCAACUGACCCAUCUAUCAAUAUUUACUUUCUAUAUUAACAUAUUUACUUUCUAUAACUUAUAACACUCCCUCUCAAGUUGGAUCAUAAAUGUUAAUCAUGCCCAAUUUGUUACAUAUAUAAUCAACUCGAGUCCCAUUUGGAGCUUUAGUGAAAAUAUCUCCUAAUUGUUCUCUAGUUCGGAUAUGUCCUUUUGAUAUUAUCUUUUGUUGGACCUUUUCACGAACAAAAUGACAAUCAAUCUCGAUGUGUUUAGUCCUCUCGUGAAAUACUGGAUUGGAGGCAAUGUGGAUAGCGGCUUGAAUAUCACACCACAACUUAGCAGGCACCGAAUUUGUGAACCCAACUUCUUCCAACAGUUGACAUACCCACAAGAUUUCACAAACGGCUUAUGCCAUAGCUCGAUAUUCAGAUUCAGCACUAGAACGGGAGAGCACAUUUUGCUUCUUACUUUUCCAUGAGAUCAAGUUACCUCCCACAAAAACACAAUACCCAGUAGUUGACCUCCUAUCAACUUUCGAGCCUGCCCAAUCAGCAUCAGAAAAGCAUUCAAUAUUUGAGUGCCCAUGGUUACCAUAGAAUAGGCCUCGCCCUGGGGCCCCUUUAAGGUAACAAAGAAUCUGUCCCAGAGCAUCCCACUGGGCAACAGUAGGAGAAGACAUAAACUGACUUACCACACUCACUGAAUAUGCAAUAUCAGGACGAGUCACCGUCAAAUAAUUCAGCUUGCCAACUAAUCUUCUAUACCUUCCAGAAUCUGCAAAUGCAAAUGGCUCACUGUCUUCUGUGGUAAGUUGAAGGUUAGGGGUCAUUGGGGCACUACACGGCUUAGCAUCCAAUUUUCCUGUUUCUGCCAACAAAUCAAGAACAUAUUUUCUUUGAGAUAAGAAAAUGCCUUUCUUACACCACAUGACUUCGAUUCCCAAGAAAUAUUUCAAGGAACCCAAACCCUUUAUAUGAAACUGUGUUUUAAGAAAUUCUUUUAGGGAUGUGAUGCCAGCAAUGUCACUUCCUGUAAUAACGAUAUCAUCCACAUAUACUACAAGCAUAAUUACUCCACUAUCAGAAUUUCUAUAAAACACUAAGUGAUCACACUUACUCAUCUUCAUUCCAAACUGUUGGACCACCUCACUAAGCCUGUCAAACCAUGUCCGAAGACUCUGUUUCAAGCCAUAAAGGGAUUUUCGAAGUCUACAAACCUUACCUGACUCCCCCUGAGCAACAAAACAAGGUGGUUGCUCAAUAUAAACCUCCUCCUGAAGAUCACCAUGAAGAAAAGCAUUUUUAAUAUCUAGUUGAUGCAAAGGCCAAUCAUGAGUAGCCGCCAAGGAAAUAAACAAUCGGACAGAUGCGAGCUUGGCAACUGGGGAGAAUGUAUCAGAAUAGUCAACUCCAUAAGUUUUUGUAUAACUUUUGGCCACUAAACGGGCCUUGAGGCGAGCAAUAGAUCCAUUAGGGUUUACUUCCACUGCAAACACCCUUUUGCACUCAAUAGCCCGCUUUCCUGGGGGCAAGGACAUCAACUCCCAAGUACCAUUAGUGUCAAGGGCCAUCAUUUCCUCUUCCAUUGCAGCACGCCAACCAGGAUGGGACAAAGCCUCAAUAACAGUUUUGGAAAUUGAAAUAGAAUCUAAAGCAGUGACAAAACAACGAGAAGAGGAGGAUAAUUGAUCAUAAGAGACACAAGAUGAAAUAGGAUAAGUGCAAGUACGUUUACCUUUGCGAAGAGCAAUGGGCAAAUCCAAAUCAGACAGUGAAGGAUCAGUGGGAGCAGGAUCGGUUGACGAAGAAGCGGGUAGCAGAACGGAGUCAGAGUCCUCUAAGCGUUUGGAAUGCACAUGAAAGAUGGGAGGGCAACCUGGCAUAUGAGCGAAAGGUGUAGGAGUAGUCUGAGGAGACAGAGAGUGAACAGUGUAUGACAAGAGGUCAUCUUCCUCCUCCUGGGUAUUAUAAACAGAUGAUGGCAGAAAAAAUAGAGUGGACUCAAAGAAUGUUACAUCUGCAGACACAAGAUACCGAUUCAGAUCAAGAGAAAAACAACGAUACCCUUUCUGACAUCGAGAGUAGCCAAGGAAGACACAUUUGAGUGAUUUGGGAUCCAAUUUAGUAACCUGUGGACGAACAUCACGAACAAAAUAAGUACAACCAAAGAUACGUGGCUCAAUAGGAAACAAAGAUUUAGUGGGAAACAAAAUGUUAUAAGUGAUAUCACCAUGAAGGAUGGAGGAAGGCAUGCGAUUAAUCAAAAAACAAGCAGUGAAUACAGCAUCAGCCCAAAAAUAUUUAGGUACCUUCAUUUGGAAUAAGAGGGCUCUGGCUACUUCAACAAGAUGUCGAUUUUUUCUUUCAGCAACUCCAUUUUGUGAAGGAGUGGCAACACAAGAGGACUGAUGAAGAACCUCUUUUUGUAACAAAUAAGAUUGAAAUUCCCCAGAGAGAUACUCUUUAGCAUCAUCACUUUGAAAUAUACGGAUGGAAGUAUUGAAUUGGGUUUGGAUUUCAGCAUAAAAUGCACAAAAAAUAGAAAAUAAUUCUGAACGACUUUUCAUUAAAAAUAACCAAGUAGUACGAGAGAAAUCAUCAACAAAAGUAACAAAAUACUUAAAGCCAGACUUAGACACAAUAGGACAAGGACCCCAAACAUCUGAAUGGACUAACUCAAAGGGGGACAAAGUCCGUUUAUUGACUCGAGACAGUGUAGGUAAACGAUGAUGUUUGGCAAAUUGACAAGACUCACAAUCUAGAAUAGACAAAGAAUGAAACUGUGGAUAUAACUUCUUCAAAGCCGAGAGAGAAGGAUGCCCCAAACGACAAUGAACAUCAAAAGGUGUUAAACGCGUGGAGCAUAUCAUAGAUCGAGGAGAUCGAGGUAGUUGCUAAUCCAAGAUGUAAAGACCCUCUGACUCACUCCCUCUACCAAUAAUCUACUUCGUCGAAAGAUCCUGAAAAAUACAGUGAUCAGGAAAGAAUGACACACAACAAUUCAAUGCACGAGUGAGUUUACUCACGGAAAACAAAUUAAAUGCGAACUUAGGGAGACAUAACACAGAGGAUACAGAAAGAGAAGGGGUUAAGUUGACAUGACCAGAACCCAUGACAGAAGAUUUAGUGUCAUCAGUAAGAGUAACAUAAGAAGGCGAUAUAUGAGACUCAAGAUUGGACAAAAGGGUAGAAUUACCUGACAUAUGAUCGGUAGCACCAGAAUCAAUAACCCAUUUGGAGGAUGAAGACACAAGACAUGCAGUAGAAUUACUUAACUCAGCAAUUGCAGUGAUAGAGGAGGAAUUAGAGGAUUUUAGAGAUGCCUGGUAUUGGAUGAAUUGUGCAUACUCAUAUGCAGAUAUCAAAAUUCCUUGAUUGGAAAAUCCAUUCAAUUUGUGUUCCGUGAUUUUAGUCAUCAUAGGAAUCACAUCAGUUACGGUGGUGGUUUUAACUUCAGCCAUAAGGACAACCAAUCCAAAACGAUAGCAAUAAAAGAAACACAGAAUCAGAAAACAGUACCCGGCGUGAACAGUACCACGUGAACAGUAUCGAUGAACAGGAUCCGUGAACAGUACCGAUGACUAGUACCGUGAACAGUGCCGAUGAACAGUACCCCCGAAUAUGAAUAGUACCUAAAACACCUCCACCCAACACCCUAAUGGCAAAUAAACCUCAGAUCUGAUAAAGGAAUGGUGUGGCGACUCCGGCGAUGGUGAGAUCCAAAUGUUACCCUUUAUGGGUAACCCAAAUAAAUAGAGCCCUAGAGAAAACUUGACGAGAGAAAAAAUAUAAUUUCUACGAGAAUGGCUCUGAUACCAUAAAGAAGGAUAAUAUUUGUUGUAUUUCACAAUAGAGAUUACAACCUAUUUAUACAUGAGAGACGGUAUCUAAAUAGGAAGAAAAUUCAAGCCUCUGAUUAUACAAUCCCUAAGAUUAAGCAAUUGACCCAUCUAUCAAUAUUUACUUCCUAUAUUAACAUAUUUACUUUCUAUAAUUUAUAAGAAACAUGAAAGAUGGGCCCUAAACUGUUGAAUGGCUAGAAUUUAUGUUAACUAAUGGCUUGCGGAUAAUGAAAGACGGCAAAUUUUCCAAAAAAAGAAAACAUCUACUCAACUGAAAUAGUAUUUUAUUGCAGAAACACAAAUGAAGAACCUAGACAAAAAGAAGAUGUGAAUUUAAUGGGCCAAACAUGGAAAAAGAAGAAGAAAAAAAAAAAGAAAAGGAUUGCAAAUUUGCCUCCUACUGGAAUAUCUAAUUAAAGUUUAGAGCUAAGAGUGCUAAUCCAAUGAGGGUUUCAAAAACGUGAUAUAAAAAACGGAUCAGGAUUUUACCGGAAAAAAAGUUUCAGUAUUAGAACUUUUGAUGCAGUUAAUUCUCUUGUUGUAAAAUUGUGUGUUUAUGAAAGAAAAUGUUGAUAUUAAAAACCUUUCAUUAUCUUUUUUUUUUUUUCUUACUGCACUUUUUGUCUCAAACUUCCAAUUUUUUUAGGCCUGAAGCUAAACUUGUGAAAGAAGUUGUGGAACAUAUUUUGAGGAAAUUGGAUCAUGCAUUCUCAGGAGAUUUGAAGGGUCUGAUUGGAAUACACUCGCACAUUAGACAGAUUAAAAAUUUAUUAUGCAUAGGGUUGCCAAAUGUUCGUAUUGUAGGAAUUUGGGGCAUGGCUGGCAUAGGCAAAACGACUAUUGCUAGAGCUUUUUUCAACACUAUCUCAAAUCAAUUUGAAGCUUGCACUUUUCUUGAGAAUGUAAACGAAGAAUCAAAACAAUUUGAAGGGCUACGUCGUUUAAGAGAAAAGCUUCUUUCUGAAUUACUAGAGGAGGAAAAUCGACAUAUUGUCACUUCCAACAUAGAAUCUGUUUCCGUUAAGGACAGGAUCCGCCACAAAAGGGUUUUGCUUGUCCUUGAUGAUUUGAAUGAUGUGGAUCAGCUGGAAGCCCUCAUUGGAGGAUGCGAUUUUGCUUUGGGAAGUAGAGUUAUAGUGACAUCUAGAGAUAGGCAAGUUCUAAAGAAUGGAGUUGAUGAAAUAUAUGAAGUUGAGGGAUUAAAUGAUGAUGAAGCUCUUCAACUGUUCAGUUCCAAUGCUUUUAAGAAAAGUUAUCCCACUUUUGAUAGAUUGGAGCUAUCAAAUAGGGUGGUGAACUAUGCUCAGGGAAACCCCUUAGCUCUUAAAGUUUUGGGUUCUUUCUUAUUUGACAGAAGGAGAGAAGAUUGGGAAAACACACUGGAUAAACUUGGAAGAAUUCCUCAGGCUAAAGUUUUUCAUUUGCUGAGAACAUGUUUUGACACGCUUGAUGAUGAUGAGAAAAAUAUAUUUCUGGAUAUUGCAUGUUUUUUCAAGGGGCAACAAAUUGAUUUUGUAAGGAGAGUACUAGAUGGUUGUGGUUUCUCAGCAGGAAUUGGAAUUACUGUUCUUCUUGAUAAAUCUCUUAUUACUAUCCUAGAUAACAAGCUGGGAAUGCAUAAACUGUUGCAAGAAAUGGCUCAUGAAAUUGUUCGCCAAGAAUCUGUUAAAGAGCUGGGCAAGCGCAGUAGAUUGUGGAGAGCUUGUGAUGUCUAUCAAGUCUUAACAAAAAAUCUGGUAAGAGCCAUAUUCAUUCUUGAUUUUUAUGCUUGCAUGUAUUAUAUUUAUGUAUCUGUCAAAAUAAACUGAGUACAUCAGUGUAACCUUGCUUUAUAUAUAUGCUCAUCCGUGAUCUUCAGGGAACUGAAAAUGUUGAAGGGAUAUGGUUAGACACAUCUAAAAUGAGAGAAAUGGAUGUGAGUUCAAGAGCCUUUGUGAGGAUGGAUAAUCUUAGAUUGCUCAAAAUCUACAAUUCUAGAGUUAGAAAUAAUUGUAAACUGCACCUUCCUCGUGGCCUUAAGUUCCUUUCUGAUGAGUUGAGGUACAUCCAUUGGGAUGGAUACCCUCUGAGCUCUAUGCCAUCCAAUUUUCAGGUGGAGAACCUUGUUGAGCUAAACCUGGCUUACAGCAAAGUUAAACAGCUAUGGACAGGAGUACAGGUACGCGAUAAUAUUUUUCCUGAUUCCCUUUUUACAUCAUUUCCUUUUAAAAGUGCAGAUUAGUAUGGGGCAUGUGCUAAUUUGUUGUAGCCUGUUGUAUUGUUAUUGCAGAAUCUUGCAAGUUUGAAAGAUAUUAACCUUAGCAAUUCUGAGCACUUAAAUACUUUCCCUGAUCUCUCACUGGCAAAGAAUCUUGAGAGAGUAAAUUUUGAGUUCUGUACUAGCUUGGUAGAAGUUCCCUCAUCUAUUCAGUUUCUAGAGAAGCUUACUGAUUUGAAUAUGAGAUGCUGCACAUGCCUUGAGAGUUUUCCUACAGGUAUUAAUUUGAGAUCACUUAAGACUCUUUACCUUUCCGGCUGUUCAAAUCUUAGGAAGUGUCCUGAGAUAGGAAAGAACAUAGUGUAUUUAAACUUAAAUGAGACUGCAAUAGAAGAACUUCCGGAAUCAAUUGGCCAUCUCAGUGAUCUCAUAGCAUUGAAUUUGAAGGAUUGUAAGCAAAUCAGGCAUCUUCCAAGAAGCAUGCGUUUGUUGAAAUCCCUUGUGAUUAUUGAUCUCUCUGGCUGCUCAAAUAUCAUUAGGUUUCCCGAUUUUGCAACACGUAUAGAAUUCUUGUACUUGGGUGAAACUGCAAUAGAAGAACUUCCCUCUUCAAUUGGUUGUCUCUCAAGGCUCUCUCGUUUGGAUCUAACAAACUGCAAAAGGCUUAAGAACCUUCCUUCUACCAUUUUUAAGUUGGCAUCUCUUGAAAAUCUUAUCAUCUCUGGCUGCUCAAGUAUUACUGAGAUUCCAGAGAUGUCGAGUAAUAUAAGGAAGUUGUUUAUAGAUGGGACAUCAAUAGAAGAAAUUCCCUCAUCAAUAGAGUGUUGUUUUGAUCUUGUUGAGUUGAACCUGCAAAACUGCACAAGAUUUCGUAUUCUUCCAAGCGGUAUUUGUAGGUUGAAAUCUCUGCAAAAGCUUAAUCUCUCAGGUUGCUCCAUGUUUGAGAAUUUUCCAGAAGUUUUGGAGGUUAUGGGAUCAUUGAGGUAUCUAUAUUUAGAUGGAACAGCCAUACAAGAGUUACCUUCACCAAUUGAAAAUUUGAAAGGGCUUACCUGCUUGGAAUUAAGGAACUGCAGAAAUCUACAGGGAUUGCUGGAAGGAAUCUCUGGUGUAAAAAAUUUCAGCAGAUUACCUGAAAGGUGGGUGGAUAUUCAAUAUCUACGAAAGCUCAACGUAAAUAAUUGCAGUUUAUCACAUGUGCCUUAUUGCAUUGGCUGCUUAUCCUCACUAGAAGCAUUAGAUCUAAGUGGAAACCCUUUUACAUACAUGCCUGAAAGCAUUAGUAAGCUCUUUGAGCUUCAGUACCUUGGUUUAAGAAAUUGCCAGCAGCUAAUAUCAAUACCAGAUCUUCCGCCCCAGCUUACAAAAUUAGAUGCACAUUUUUGCGUUUCGCUGAGAUCAGUAUCACUUCAUUCCAAUGGAGCCGAGGGAAACAUUUUUGAUUUCCAUUUCACUAAUUGUGACAAGUUAACUUCAGUUGCAAGGCACAACAUCAUGGCAUAUGCUCUACGAAAAAUUGAGCUGUACUCCAAAAAACUGCAUUGUCAGGUCUUUCACUCCUCUAAAUUUUUCCCUUUGUUCUUUUCAAUUGACCAUCUCCCUUAUUAAAAUUGCUGCUUUUUCUUAUUUGUGUGCAGAUGCCUUCUGUGUUAGCUGGGGAAUCUAGCUUUUGCAUUCCUGGAAGAAAAAUUCCGAAGUGGAUUUGCCAUCAGAGUGAGGGAUUUUCAACGACAGUUCGACUGCCUUCACAGUGGAGUAAUGGUGAGUUCCUGGGUUUCAUUCUCUGUGCAGUUAUUGCAUUCAAUGACUCCAACAUUGACAACGGUUUCCAAGUGAAAUGUGAAUACCAUUUCAAAGAUGAGCAUGGCAACUGCAGUAAUCUCCAUGGUCAUAUCAGUGGCUGGUAUGGUCGAAGAUAUCUCUGGAAUUACCGCGAAAUCCAAAACGGGGGAGUAUAUCCCAUGUUCUUUGGGUAUGAUCCUUGUGUGGAUGUUAAGAAAAAUGCUCAGUUUCCUAAACACACACAGCUUCUGGUUGAAUUCCAUCCUGAAGAUAUGGAUGGCCAUCCUUUACAUUGUUGCAAGGUUGUCAAUUGCGGGGUACGUAUAUUAUAUGCUGAAGAGGAGAGAUUAUGUCGAUGUUCUUCUCUCCAUCAACAGAUUAAGGAAGCAUUAUCCAAAACAAGGGAUGAAAUUUGCUCCUAUGAAGAUCAAAAUCUAUGGGAGAGCUUUCUGGAACACAAGAAAACCAAAGUUGUUGGGACAAGCUGCAAAAUGUACCAAUGUUUGCUCUGUGAAAGUCACGACUUUGGGUGUUUCGAUGUGGUCGAUGAACAAGAUAUUGAUACUCUUGCAUCUUUAUGAGAAAUUUCAGAUUUAGGCAAUUGUAUGACAUGAAAAAAGAAAAAAUGAGAAUAAGGUGGAGAGAGAGAAAAAAAAAAAGAAGAAUCUAAUACCAGUGGUCAAUUUUAUUUUAAUAUUAUUAAUAUACAUUUCUCCAUCUUCUUCUCUUCCCUUUCCCCCUUUCUCUCUCAGAAAUGACCAGUUUAGAAGCUUCCUUCCUAUCAUCAAUAAGCAAAACCCGUGAACUUUCCAUGCAUUUUCAUAAAUUUGGCUACAACCCUAAGGUGCCUAUAUAUAUAUAAAUCAAUGACCAAGGGUGCAUAUGCUUCUAAGGAAAUUUUAUAAGAGAAAAAAAAUAAGUGUUAAUGAGAUAUAUAGCACAUCUUUAAUAUCUAGUGAUGGGUUGUUUUGGCAAGCGAAACUCUGAAAAUAAACAAAACCCAUAUCAAACACCUGCCAAAGGAACUAAUCCUCCUCGUCAAGCUCAUUAUGGAGGAGCUAGAAAGGCAAAAGUCGCAGCAAACAUAGCCAUGGUGUUGGAGCAGUUACUGCAGGUGUUACUGCUGCAGUCGCUGCAAGUUCAGCCGCUUCUAGUGGUGCUGGUGCUUGUGGUGGAGGUGGUUGCGCCGUUUCAGGCUGUUGAGGAUUGUCUUUGCAACAAUUCAAUUUCUUCUUUAUAUAUUUGUUAAUUACAUAUCAUCUCAUGAGAUUCUAUUAAUUUGUCAUGUUUUUACUUGAAUUUCAGAAAUAAAAAUUAUAGAAGAAAAUAAAAGGAUUGGUUGUAAGAAAUAUAUAUUGUUGUAUAUAUUCUGUGUUUAAUAUAUAUAUUUGAUUAUGGAAUUGUUAUAGUAAUAAUUUUAUUUUUAUUUUUAGCAAUAAAGUUAAUUACAACAAAGAUUUUAUAUUGAUAUAGUAAUAAUUUUAUUUUUAGCCUUAAAGUUAAUUAGUUAUUAUGACUAAAAUAAAAAGUAUUAGGAGACCAAUGAUUAUAUAUAAAGGAUAUCAUAGAAUUUUAAAAAUAAAAAUCUUAACAAAUAAUUGAUUUUUAAAUUGAUCCCUAAUUAUUACUAUUAAUUUAUAAAAAAAUUAGUUUAUAAAUAAUUGUAAUAUUAGUGCAUUAAUUUAAAAAGUAUAGCAACUUAUUUGUAAAUAAGUAUACUGCUUAAGGACCAAUUUAUAAAUUUAUGUGUGCUUAAUCAUAAAUAAUAAUUAUAAUAGGGAUAAAUUAGUAAAAGUUAAUAAGUGAAUUGUAAAAAAAAAUAAAAAUAUAAACUAAAGGACUAAACUGUAACUUUUACUAAACUUAGUUUAUUCUUUUAUAUUAAAAAUAUAAUAAAUGAAAUUUUAGUCAUUUUUAUACAAUUAACCGUAAUUUUAACUGUAAAUCUAAUGAUAAUUUAUAUGUUUAUUUAAAUGUUAAAAUGUCAAUUGGUAGAUUUUAAAAACAUAUAGAUUACAACAAAAUAAUUUAUUAAACUAUAAAGACAACUGAAAUUUAUCUAAUUAAUAAUUAUAAAAUCUAAAAAAAAUUUAAAAAACAUAUAAAAACUACAUUAUAACGUUGACGGUAAUAAUGCAGAUACCAAUAAGACGAAAGAAGCUAGAUAAUAAAUGGAUUGUUUCUUACCAUCCAUAUCUCUUAACAAUAUGCAACUAUCACAUAUAUGUGCUAGCUUAAAGGAAGUUAAAUGUUUGUAUAAGUACAUCUAUAAAGGACAUGAUAAGAUCUCAAUUUGCAUGUCCCAUGAAGAUGAACCAAUGGAUGAAAUACAAUAAUUUCAAGAUACAAGAUGAGUGUCAGCUCAAGAAGCGAUAUGGAAAAUAUUUGAAUUUGGGCUCAAUGAAAUAAACCCUUCAGUUUUAAAUCUACAGUUACACUUGCCAAAUUAGCAAAUGGUAUCAUUUUAGAAAAUCAGAAUCUUAAGCAUGUUAUGCAAUGGGAUCAUAUAUCAAGAACAAUGUUAACAAAGUUCUUAAGAACCACUUGAUGAAGAAGCAAGAGGACUAUUGUAUAGGGAAUUUUCAGAACAGUAUGUAUGGAGUCUAAACAAAAAUCAAGGCAAGUAAUAGGUUGUGUAAAUGCAGUGAAUCCGAUAGAGGGUGAAAGAUACUAUUUGAGAUUGCUUUUAAACUAUAUAAGAGGUCCAAAGUCAUUUGACGAUCUAUUAACAAUAGAAAAUGUCCAAUGCUCGAUUUAAAGAGUCAGCUAUUAGAAGAGGACUACUUGAGUCAGAUAAUAGUGCAUCUGAAUGUAUGAGUGAAGCAGUCACACUCCAGAUGCCAUAAGAAUUGAGGAAAUUAUUUGUAAUUAUAUAUAUUGUAAGCCUGCUGAUGUGAGAGGAUUAUGGGAUAAUUACGGGAUGAUUACUUUGAUGCCAUAUAUGAGAAUUUUAAUAGAAUGUACCAAGGCUCAAUGCAGAAAUAGAUUUCUUUAACAUUGAAAAGUAUAAACUAUCAUUUACAGAGCAUGGAAAAAGAUAUAAAGAAUUAUAAUUUGUCAAAUAUAGAAGAAGAUCAAACACAUCAAUCAAUCAAAAACUCAAGAGAAAUAACAGAUGAGAUGGCUAUAGAAAUACUUGAGGAAGAUAUUAAUGUGGUACAUAAAUUAAAUAUUGAGCAACUCCAUGCAUAUAAAAUCAUAUUGCAAACAGUGGACUUAAACACUAGCGGGGUCUUUUUUGUGGAUGGAUAUGGAGGGACAGAAAAGAUAUUUUUAUAUCGUGCAUUACUCGCAUAUGUAAGAUCUAUAGGAAUGAUAGCACUUGUCAUAGCAACAUCUAGGAUAAUAGCGUUUAUUAUGCUUGGAGGAAGAACUACACACUCACGAUUUAGUAUACCAUUAAGCCCAAUAGAGUCGAACAUGUGUAGUAUAUCUAAGCAAAGCGGACAGACAGAAUUAUUAUGCAUUGCAAAAUUGAUUAUAUGGAAUGAAGCACUGAUGGCAAAAGGACUAGCAAUAGAAAUAGUUGAUAGAAGCUUGAGAGAUAUAAUGGAUAAUUCUCAACCAUUCGGAGAGAAGGUAAUAGUGUUUAGUGGAGAUUUCAGGUAGGUAUUACCGGUGGUACCUAAAGCCUUAAGACAAGAAAAUGUUAGUGUAAGUCUCAUGAAAUCUUAUUUAUGGAGUAAAAUGGAAGUGCUAAAAUUAACAACCAAUAUGAGGGCUAGAACAUAUCAAUAUUUUGGAGAAUUCAUACUCAGAGUUGGUAAUAGAGAAGAGGUAGAAACAAAAGAAUGUAAUAUAAGAAUACCUGAAGAGAUGGUAGUGAAGUAUGAAAAUGAAAAUAACUGUAAAGAAGUAUUAGGUGAUGCAAUAUAUUCAUCAUUGGAGAAAAAUGCUAGAUUGGCAUAGUACAUGACAAAUCGUGUAAUCCUAACAACAAAAAAUGAAUAUGUAGAUAGUUUUAAUGAAAAGAUGAUAAAUAUAUUCUUUAGUAAAAGCGAUACUUAUACCAAUUUUGAUGAAACAAUAGAUAAUACAAAUAACUAUUACCAAGAGGAAUUCUUAAAUAUUUUAUUACCGAAUGGAUUGCCUUCGCACAAGUUAGAAUUAAAAGUGAAUUGUGCAAUGAUACUGUAAAAAAACCUAGAUCCUUCAAAUGGCCUAUAUAAUGGAUCAAGAAUGGUGUAUAAAAAUUUUAGAAAAAAUAUAAUUCAUGCAAAGAUAAUAGUAAGACGUGUUGAUAAGCAAAUUCUAUUACUAUUUUUACCUGCAGAAAAUAAAGAUGUCCUUUUCGUUUUAAAAGAAUACAAUUUCCUAUUUGUCUAUGUUUUGCAACGACGAUAAAUAAAGCUCAGAGAUAAAUAAUAUUAAACUUUGGUAUGUAUUUGAUACAUGAUGUUUUCUCUCCUAAACAAUUAUAUAUCGCACGAUCAAGGGAAGUAUUAAUUUCAAUUAUAAAAAUCAUUAUAAAGUCAGACAAUAAAAAAGAAAAAAGCAAAAAUGUACGAAGAACGUAGCAUAUAAAUAAGUGUUAUUAUCAUAAAAGUGAAAGAAUAUAAAAUAUAUAUUUAAAUAUAAACAAAUAUUUAGUAAUUAUAUUAAAAUAAUAUUAACUAUUAUAAUAAUUUUAAUAAUGGAGUAAACAUAUAUUUAAAAGUCAAUUGCUUGAUUACAAUAAUAACACGAAAGCAAAAAUCAUUAAAUGUGAUGUGAUUUUAUAUUUUAAUAUUAAUAUUAAUAUUUUAUUAUUUUUUAUGAUAAUUCUUCAACAAUUAUAUUAUAAAAAAAUGAAUGUAUUCAAUGAAUAUAAACAACGUGUAAAUCACGUUAAUUAAAACUAAUUAUUACAGAAGUGCUUUAUAAAAGUGGGAACUGAAUUAUUUAUGUUGUUAAACCUAAAUAUGGGCAGGUUAUCGUGGACCAAAUUGAAACAGAAUGGGUUAAAUUUAAAAUAUUGGUGAAUUAAUUUUGGUCAAUUAAUUUUAAUUUAUUUAUUUAUUCAUAUGCCAAUGAUAUAUUCAAUAAAUAUUAUUAUUUAAACUAAUAAGAAAUGUACUAUGUUAGUAUAUUAUUAAUGGUAAAAUAUAAUAUAGUCUCUAUAUUUAGAUAAAUUCUUCACUUUAGUCUUUAAAGUUUAAAAACACACAUAUUUAGUCGUUAACAUUUGAAUUAACCUAUAAUUUAGACUCUGCUAUUAGACUUACGGUUAAAAUGAUGCUAAUUUCAGAAAAAAAUAAGUUAAAUACCCUUUAUUAUAUAUUAUAAAUUAAUUUCUAAAUAUUAUACUUAUUUGUAAAUAUCUAUAUUUCUAUAAAUUAGUUCCUAAAUAUUUCAAUUGUUUAUGACUAAGUCCUUAUAAUUUAAAAAUUGAUUUCUAAAAUAUUUUUAUUGUUUAUAAAUAAUUUUAAAAAUAUUUUUUAAAUUGAUCCCUAAUUAUUACUAUUAAUUUAUAAAAAUAUUAGUUUAUAAAUAAUUGUAAUAUUAGUGCAUUAAUUUAAAAAGUAUAGCAACUUAUUUGUAAAUAAGUAUACUACUUAAGCACCAAUUUAUAAAUUUAUAUGUGCUUACUCAUAAAUAAUCAUUACAAUAGGGAUAAAUUAGUAAAAGUAUUAAAGUGAAUUGUAAAAAAAAUAAAAAUAUAAACUAAAGGACUAAACUGUAACUUUUACUAAACUUAGUUGAUUCUUUUGCAUUAAGAAUAUAAUAAAUGAAAUGUUAGUCGUUUUUAUACAAUUAACCGUAAUUUUAACUGUAAAUCUAAUGGUAAUUUGUAUGUUUAUUUAAAUGUUAAAAACUCAAUUGGUAGAUUUUAAAAACACAGACUACAACAAAAGAAUUCACUAAACUAUAAAAACAUAACUGUAAUUUAUCUUAUUAAUAAUUAUACAAUGUAAAAGUUUUUUAAAAAAUAUAUAAAAAUUAUAUUAUAACAUUGACUGUAAUAAUGCAGAUAUCAAUAAGACGAAAGAAGCUAGAUAAUAAAUGAAUUGUUCCUUACAAUCUAUAUCUCUUGACAAUAUACAACUGUCACAUAAAUGUUGAGAUAUGUGCUAACUUGAAGGGAGUUAAAUGUUUGUAUAAGUACAUCUAUAAAGGACAUGAUAGGAUCUCAGUUUGCAUGUCCCAUGAAGAUGAACCAAUUGAUGAAAUACAAUAAUUUCAAGAUACAAGAUGGGUGUCAGCUCAAAAAGCUAUACGGAGAAUAUUUAAAUUUAAGCUCAAUGAAAUAAACCCUUCAGUUUUAAAUCUACAGAUACACUUGCCAAAUUAGCAAAUGGUAUCAUUUUAGAAAAAUCAGAAUCUUAAGCAUGUUAUGCAAUGGGAUCAUAUAUCAAGAACAAUGUUAACAGAGUUCUUAAGAACAUGCUCACUUAAUGAAGAAGCAAGAGGACUAUUGUAUAGGGAAUUUUCAUAACAGCAUGUAUGGAGUCUAAACAGAAAUCAAGGCAAGUAAUAGGUUGUGUAAAUGCAGCGAAUCCGAUAGAGGGUGAAAGAUACUAUUUGAGAUUGCUUUUAAACUAUAUAAGAGGUCCAAAAUUAUUUGACGAUCUAUUAACAAAAGAAAAUGUUCAAUGCCCGAUUUAAAGAGUCAACUAUCAGAAGAGGACUACUUGAGUAAGAUAAUAGUGCAUCUGAAUGUAUGAGUGAAGCAGUCACAUUCCAGAUGCCAUAAUAAUUGAGGAAAUUAUUUGCAAUUAUAUAUAUUGUGAGCCUGCUGAUGUGAGAGGAUUAUGGGAUAAUUACUUUGAUGCCAUAUAUGAGAAUUUUAAUAGAAUGUACCAAGACUCAAUGCAGAAAUAGAUUUCUUUGACAUUGAAAAGUAUAAACUAUCAUUUAUAGAGCAUGAGGAAAGAUAUAAAUAAUUAUGAUUUGUCAAAUAUAAAAGAAGAUAAAACACAUCAAUCAAUCAAAAACUCAAGAGAAAUAACAAAUGAGAUGGCUAUAGAAAUACUUGAGGAAGAUAUUAAUGCAGUACAAAAAUUAAAUAUUGAGCAACUCCAUGCAUAUAAAAUCAUAUUGUAAAGGGUGGACUUAAACACUAGCAGGGUCUUUUUUGUGGAUGGAUCUGGGAGACAGAAAAGAUAUUUUUAUAUCGUGCAUUACUCGCAUAUGUAAGAUCUAUAGGAAUGAUAACACUUGCCAUAGCAACAUCUGGGAUAGUAGCGUCUAUUAUGCCUGGAGGAAGAAUUGCACACUCACGAUUUAGUAUACCAUUAAGCCCAACAGAGUCGAGCAUGUCUGGUAUAUCUAAGCAAAGUGGAUAGAUAGAAUUAUUAUGCACUACAAAAUUGAUUAUAUGGAAUGAAGCACUGAUGGCAAAAGGACUAGCAAUAGAAAUAGUUGAUAAAAGCUUGAGAGAUAUAAAGGAUAAUUCUCAACCAUUCGGAGAGAAGGUAAUAGUGUUUGGUGGAGAUUUCAAGUAGGUAUUAUCGGUGGUACCUAAAGCCUCGAGACAAGAAAAUGUUAGUGUAAGCCUCAUGAAAUUUUAUUUAUGGAGUAAAAUGGAAGUGCCAAAAUUAACAACCAAUAUGAGGGCUAGAACAGAUCAAUAUUUUGGAGAAUUCAUACUUAGAGUUGGUAAUGGAGAAGAGGUAGAAACAAAAGGAUGCAAUAUAAGAAUACCUGAAGAGAUGGUAGUGAAGUAUGAAAAUGAAAAUAACUGUGAAGAAGUAUUAGGUGAUGCAAUAUAUCUAUCAUUGGAGAAAAAUGCUAGAUUAGCAUAGUACAUGACAAAUCGUGCAAUCCUGACAACAAAAAAUGAAUAUGUAGAUAGUUUUAAUGAAAAGAUGAUAAACAUAUUCCAUAAUAAAAGCAAUACUUAUACCAGUUUUGAUGAAACAAUAGAUAAUACAAAUAACUAUUACUAAGAGGAAUUUUUAAACACUUUAUUACUGAAUGGAUUGUCUUCGCACAAGCUGAAAUUAAAGGUAAAUUGUGCAAUGAUACUGUCAAGAAACCUAGAUCCUUCAAAUGACCUAUAUAAUAGAAAAUGAAAGGUGUAUAAAAGUUUUAGAAAAAAUAUAAUUCAUGCAAAGAUAACAGUAAAAUAACAUAUUGGUAAGCAAAUUCUAUUACUAUUGUUAUCUGCAGAAAAUAAAGGAUGCCCUUUUUAUUUUGAAAGAUGCAAUUUUCUAUUCGUCUAUGCUUUGCAAUGACGUUGAAUAAAGUUCAGAGAUAAAUAAUAUCAAAUUUUGAUGUGUAUUUGAUACAUGAUGUUUUCUUUCAUAAUUAAUUAUAUAUCACACUAGUAAGAGAAGUAUCAAUGUCAACUAUAAAAAUUAUUAUAAAGUCAAAUAAUAAAAGUAAAAAAAAGAAAAAAUAUACGUAAUAUAUAAAUAAGUCUCAUUACCAUAAAAGUUAAAGAAAAUAAAAUAUAUAUUUAAAUAUAAUAAAAUAUUUAGUAAUUAUAUUAAAAUAAUAUUAACUAUUAUAAUAAUUUUAAUAAUGCAGUAAACAUAUAUUCAGAAGUCAAUUGCUCGUUUACAAUAAUAACACGAAAGCAAAAAUCAUUAAAUGUGAUGUGAUUUUAUAUUUUAAUAUUAAUAUUAAUAUUUUAUUAUUUUUUAUGAUAAUUCUUCAACAAUUAUAUUAUAAAAAAAUGAAUGUAUUCAAUAUAAACAACGUGUAAAUCACGUUAGUUAAAACUAAUUAUUUUAUAAUUUAUUUAUUUAAUAAAAUAUAUAUUCAAAAAUAUUUUUUUAAAUGGAUAUUCAAAAAUAUUUAAAACUUAGUAUUAGUUUUUUACAUUUUAUUUAAAUUUUUUACUUUUAUUUUUUUUUUAUAUCGAAAUUAAAUUAACUAUUUAUAACUUAAAUUUAAUUAAAAUUAAAAUUAUAACUGUAAAAAUUAAAAAAACCACUUUAAAACUAAAUGAAAACCAUUAAAAAUCUAAAAUCAUUUAGAACUAUUUUAAAUCCGACUGAUUUUAAUACUAUUCAAAAAAUAAAUAAAACUUUCAUUUUCAAACUGAAACCAGACCAAUAGCGGCCAUGGCCGCGUGUAGUUAAACCUUACCGUACGUUGCCUGAAAGAGCAAUCAACGAAAAUAAUUGUAAGCUGACCGUUUACUCUGUUAAAUAGUGAGGUUAAUCACUAGAGAAGCUAGACCGUGUGGUUACUCAAAUUGGGUUGACGGAUCAUCUAUUUCUCUUUCUUGGUUGCGCCAUUGGUCGAUCGAAGCAAAAAAUUUGUUGCCUUCCUCAUAUUUUCUAUGUAAAUCAAGCUUCUAAUCAUCAAGGUAUUCUCUGGUUUAUGCUUUUUUGAUCCAUAUGCAUAUUGGGUUUUCUCUCAUUCUCAUUUGAUGGCUUCGAUUUGUGAAAUCCUCUUCUAAGCUGAUAUUCAAUGUUAGUUUGAAAAUGAUUCUUUCCUUUAGAAGAGAGGUGAACUUGGGCUCAAUGAUCAAUUGUGUUUCAGCUUAGAAAAUUGUGAACUUAGGCUCAAUCACCUAUGGCAUUUAGAAAAGAAGGUAUAUAAAAACGCAAUUUAGGAAAAAAAAACGAAGUUUCAAAAGGGGUUCGUAAGAUGCAUUUGCUGGUUUGGAAGAGGUAGAUUUUCCUUGCCGUGUAAAUGGGUGAACUCGAGUCUUAUAUAAUUAGGGGUAUUUAAAAAUGACCCAUAAUUUGCUUCAAUUUAUCCGUAGUUAAACUAAAAUUAUACAAGUGUUGAUAGAUUGGGUUGGGUUAUUAUUGUUAUUAUUAUUUUUUCAAAUCAAACUGCAAUUUACAGAUUGAAUUAUAUGUUUCUUAGUUAAAUCAAUAAUUUGACUCAAACCAAUUCUCAUUAUUCUCAAAUAAUGCUCUUACUCCUUUUCUUUUGUUUUAAUUUUAGUUACCCAAUUAAUGCUUCUCCAGUUUUUAAAAAGAAAUAUACAUCUAAUUGCUUUAGUAGCGAUCAUUUUAUUACUAGCUUUGCUUGAUGCAGCCAUUGAAAGCAUAUUACUCACUUGGUAGACUUAAGGUUGAGUUUCCACUCCCUUUAAUACCUUACACAAUCUUUUUUUUUUUUUUUAAAGAAAAAAACACAACGAAUUUAUAUAUAGAAGAUUUACAAUUUAGUCCCUAGAUAUUGUUAUUAUUAACAAGUCAGUCUUUGCAUUUUUUAAAAUUUGUUAAAAUAUUCUUAUCUUUUUUCUCCAUGAACGAAAUAGUAAAUAUAGCAAAAGACCAAAUUAUCCCUCUUCUUCUCCUCCUUCUUCUCCUUCUAGGGACUAUUUUUAUUGAUGGGGAGAAACGAUAAAGACGUUUUAAUAGAUAAAAAAAAAAGAUAAGGAUGUUUUAUUAGAUUUCUGAGAAUGUAGGGACUAACUUGUUAAUAAUGGCAAUACCCAAUGACUAAAUAAGGGAUCUUAUUUGAAGUCAAAAUUGAGUUUUAAAAUUUUUUUCUCUCAUCUUUCAUUUAUUUUUAAUGAAAAAGAGGACGGAAGAACUAUUUUGUUGACGGAGAGAAAAUAUAAGGACGUUUUAAUGAGUUUCUGAAAAUGGAAAAUGCAGAGACUGAUUUGUUAAUAAUGGUAAUACUCAGGGACUAAAUAGUAAAUCUACCUUUAUAUAUGUGUGUGUCUAUAUACACACAUCCCCCUUGUUGAUAGAGUUGGAAGAUACAAAUUCUUUUCAAGCAAUUUAUUUGUCUAUGAAUUUUUUUACAUUUAGAAAAUAAUUGUCAAAGUGCUCUGUCUCCCGUUUGAUUUGCAAACACCAAAUUGCUAUUUUCUCUUUCUAAUUUCCUUUGUUUGUGUGGUUCAUUGGUUAUUACAAUUGACUUCUUCUUUUAGUUUAUCAGGAGACGAGUGAGCCUCUUCAUCACCGAUAUUCUAACUGUCUAUCAUCAUGGCAUCUUCCUCCAUAGCUCGAAAACGGAAGUAUGAUGUGUUUCUUAGCUUUAGAGGAGAGGAUACCCGUGAUAAUUUUACUAGCCAUCUCUAUGAUGCUUUAUCUCGUAAAAAAAUCAAGACCUUCAUAGACAAUGACCUUGAAAGAGGGCAAGAAAUAGCCCCAGUCAUUUUGAGAACAAUUGAAGAAUCAAUGUUUUCUGUAAUCAUUUUCUCCAAAAAUUAUGCAUCUUCUCCAUGGUGCUUGGAUGAAAUGGUGAAAAUACUUGAGUGCAGGGAAGUUCAUGGUCAAGCAGUUUUACCAAUUUUUUAUUAUGUAGAUCCUUCCGAUGUUGAAGGUCAAAGUGGAAGUUUUGGAGAUGCAUUUAUUGAACUUGAGAAGAACUUCAAGGAUAAAAUGGAAAGGAUGCCCAAGUGGAGGGCUGACUUGAUGAAAGUUUCAAGGAUAUCUGGAUGGGAUUCCCGGGUUAUAAGGUAUGUGUCAAUUUCUUUUCAAAUGGCUCCAGAAACAUGUCUUUCUCUUUUAAGAAAGAUGAAAAGGGAAAAAAAAACUUGUUUUGAUAAUUUUUUUUAUAACUAGACAGUAAAACAAAAAACAGAAUAAAUAGCAAAUGGACCCUAAAAUAGCCUUUUUGCUAGAUAAAUCUUGGUCAUAGUUCAUGAAACCCACAUGAGUUGAACUAGCGAACAAGUGUAUUAAAUACUUGCUUGUAUAUGUUGUUAGGUUUACAUAAAUUGGCCUUAUUAUGUUUAUCCCAUCUCAACCAUUAAAUUCAAAUUUAGUGGUUGAGAUUCAUUGUGUAAUAUAUACCCAACCAUUUCCUUCUAUGAACCAAAAAGGUUUUCCUUCACCAAAAUAUCCGUUAGAGCUGUAGCUCUAACAGAGGGAAGGAAGAGAGAAUAGGAAAGAGGGUGGGAGAAGAAUAAGAAGAAGAAGAAGAGAAGAAGAGUGUUUGGAUAACAGAAGAGAAGGGAAUGAGAGAGAAUAAGCUCAGUUUGAAUUAGUAUUUCUGAAUGCCUUUCAUGUGUAUUCCACUGCGAUUAUAUUAGCCCUGUAACUAAUUUGACAGUUGUACUACCUCUAGCUAUUACAAACUUCUAGCUAUAACAACCCAUUCAACUAUAGUACUUUCCCUCCAAAAGUCUUUAUACAUUUUAUUCCCUCUUAUUUCUAUUUUUCUUCCUACAAUACGUGACAAUACUCCCCUGGUGGAGAACUUUCUUGAACCCAAAAAAGGGAGAUACCGGGAAACUGAGCAACAAUGAAUGACUUGUCUUCUCAAAUGGCAUCUUUAGGAGGAAGAUUGUAUGACUUAAUUAAUCCUUGUUUAACAUGUUCUCCUCCUCUGAGAAUAGUUCUAGUCUACAACACCCUCUCUAGAGCCACUAUGAAACUGUCAUCCUGAAUCUGUGGUAGUGUUGUGGAAAUACUAAUAGAGUCCCCAAUCCUUUUUCUUGAGUAAAAGGCACAUGGAAAACAAGAUGAAGUGAAGAUUUAGGUGGUAAUUCCAGCUUAUAAGAUGAAGGGCCAUAAUACUUGGCAGAUAGCUUUAAGGGUCGUUUGAGUGCUAAUAACGUUUGUCUAUAAGGUUGAAGCUUUAAAUAUGCCAAGUCCCCCACAAGAAAUUUCUUUCAGACCUCUUGGUAUCUUCCUGUUGUUUUUGUUACAUUCUGUUUUGAGCAAUUUCUAAAUUUUCUUUCAAGAGUUGCACUAGCCCUUACCUGUCUUGUAGAAAAUUAUCCACAACAUCUACCAUUGUGCCAUCUGUUAAUUCCAUUGAAAAACUCGUAGGAGGAUAUCCAUACAGUCCUUGAAAAGGAGACAUCUUAAGAGCACUGUGAGGAGUGGAAUUAUACCACCACUCAGCCAUAGGAAGCCAUUGAAUCCAAUUAGUGGGUUUCAAGUGAACCAGGCACUUUAAGUAAUUUUCUAAGUAUUGAUUAACCUUUUUAGUUUGCCCAUCAAAUUGAGGAUGAUAGGCUGGACCGAAGACUAGUUUGACUCCCAAGGAGUUAAACAGCUCUUGCCAAAACAAACUGGUAAAGGCCUUAUCCUUGUCAGAUACUAUGAUCUAGGGAAUGGCAUGCAACUUGUAAAUGUGAUCCAUGAAUAGUUUAGCCACUUUAGGAGCAGAGAAGGGACGAUUUAGAGGGAAAAAAUGGGCUAGUUUUGUAAGUAUGCAUAUCACCACUAAAAUAGUGUCCUCUUUUGACUUUGGAAGCCCUUCAAUGAAAUCCAUAGCUAUUUCUUGCCAUGCCUGGGUAGGAAUUGGCAAGGGUUGUAAUAAUCUUGGAUAGGCACAGUGUUCACUCUUGCAUCUUGCACAUACUUCACGGUUCACACUGUUUAACCCAUUCCAUGAGCUUCCUCAAUAUGCCAGGCCAAUAGAAAUGCUUCAUUGCUUCUUGAACUUCAAAUAAGUAGCAAAUAAGUAGCAUGGACCCAAGAAUGCCCUCCCACCGGGGAGUUGUGGUAAGUUUCCAGUAGCUGCUGUAGAAGCUCCAACAUACAUUCUGUUUUUAUAGAACAACACUCCAUUAUUCAGCUGGUAAUUACUGAGAGCUGUAGGGGCACUGGGGCAGUUGAUAAUUGUUGUAUCAAUUUAGUGGCCUUUAAAUCCCCCUCAUAACUGUGCUCCAAGUGUUGCUUCCAAGAUGGAACCACCACUGAUUGCAAGUGAUACAAUUGUUGCUCAAUAGAACUCAUAGACUUCCUAGAAAGUGCAUCUACUACCUUAUUCUCCACUCCCCUUUUAUAAAGAAUUUUAUCGUCAAGACCAAGCAGCUUUAUAAUUACUCUCUGCUGUAGAUUAGUAUGUAGUCUUUGUUCCAUGAGGUAUUUAAUACUUUCAUAGUCUGUUUUGAUAAAAAAAAUUGCAAUUCUUCUAAAUAAUGCCUCAAUUUGUCGACUGUAAAGGUAAUAGCUAGUAACUCCUUGUAAACAGACGAGCCUUGAUUUUUGGAUCCAGGCAUGGCAUUAUUGACACUGCUCUUCAUUUUGAGUCCCUUUAUGGCUACCCUCUACCUCCUCUCUCUUUUCAUCUCAAGAAGAAUGCAAUAUUGACAUUGCUCUUCAGUUUGCACAAAGAGAUAGCAAAUUUCACAACUCAUUAAAGACAACUUGCUUACUGUGCAAAACAAGAUGAAGCAGCAAAUAGAUAAGAAAAGAACAAAGAGGGAAUUCCAAGAAGGAGCUUGGAUGUAUUUGAAGAUCCAACUCUACAGACAAACCUUCCUAGCAGUCAGGAAGCACUUAAAGUUAUCUGCUAGAUACUCUGGCCCUUACCAAGUACUGUAGAAAAUUGGAGCAGUAGCCUAUAAACUCUCACUUCCUCCCAAUGCUCAGCUUCACUCUGUGUUCCAUAUUUCACUAUUCAAGGAAAAAGUGGGAGAGCGAAUACAGAUAAAUCAGAAGCUUCCAUCCUUUUACCAAGAAGAAGCCAUAAUUGCUCCUAAGAAAGUCUUAAAGUUCAGAGUCAUCGUUCGAGAUGGAAAGAGGGUUCCUCAAGGACUCAUUAAAUGGCUGAAUUUGUCAGAUGAGGAGGCAACCUGGGAAGACAAACCCUUUAUUUUGCACUAGUUUCCACAUUCAGCUCUGCUUGGGAACAAGAAGAAUCCCUUGGGGAUAGGGAUGUAAACGGGUAGGGUACCCGCAAAAUUGAGAGUACCUAAACCCGAACCCGAUUAUAUAUACAAUUCCCGAAUCCCGUCCCAAACCUGUUUAAUAUUUUAAUUUUAUUAUCCGAACCCGUCCCAAAUCCGUUUAACAAUACCCGCACAAUACCCGAACCCGAUUUUUUAAAUUCAAUUCAAUGACAAAAACUAGCAAAUAAACUACUUAACAUUUGCACAACCUAGCAAACCCAGCAGUAAAACCCAACAGUAAAAGGAGAAAUGUUCAAUGACAAGAACCAGCAACUCAGCAACCCAGCAAAUAAUGAUUUAUAACCAGAUAAUCAAAUUAAUUGUUCAUAAAUUCUAAAAAUCAACAAUAUUACAUUAAUCAAAUAGCAAAUAAUUAAAGUUUUUAAAAGUAUCUAAAUAAUCAAUUCAAUGACAAAAAUUACCAAAUAAACUACCUAACAGUAGAAUACUGUUAGGAGAAAUGUUCAAUAACAAGAAACAGCAAACCCAGCAAACCCAGCAGUAGAAAGUUCCAGUCAAAAAAUUUGAUUGCAAACCCAGCAAACCCAAACCCAGCAGUAGAAAGUUCCAGUCAAAAAAUUUGAUUGCAAACCUGAAGAAAGUUCCAGUCAAAGGAGAUGUCGCCGACAACGAUUGGGGAGAGGCAAGGGUCCAGCAUGAAGCGUCAAUUGAAAAGAGUAGAUGUCACCGACUGGAAGAGAGGAGAUAUCGCCGAUGCCGACCGGGGAGAGGGAAGAGUUGUCUCCGACUGGGAAGUGAGAGAUGCCGCCGCUGGAGAGAGAGAGAGAAGGAGAUAUCGCUGACUGGGGAGAGAGAAGAUUUAUCGUCGUCGUCGACUGGGGAGAGAAAGGAGACGUCGUCAGUCAGUGAAGUGGGAGAGAGAGGCCUUGACUGGGAAGUGGGAGAUGUCGCCGACUGGAGAGAGAAGGAGAUGUCGCCGACUGGAGAGAGAAGGAGAUAUCGCACUGUGGAGAGAGAAGAUUUAUCGGGGAGAGAAAGGAGACAUCGCCGGUGCCGACUGGGCUGCCGGGCGGCGUCGUCAGUGAAGUGGGGGAGAGGCGUCGACGAAGAGAGGAAAGGGAAGCGAGGGAGAGAGGCGCUGACGGAGAGAAGAAAGAGUAAAAUGAAAAAGGAAAUUAGGGUUAGUUUUGUUAAUAUAUAGGUAAUCGGGUUCGGGUAAUGGGUAUCCGAUCACCUAACCCCGAACCCUACCUGAAUCCGAAAUGGGUAAAAUUUUUCAAAUUCGAAUCUGCCCAAAUCUGUUUUGUAAAAACCCAAAUCCGUUCUAAUAGGGUUUGGGCGGAUCGGGUACCCGUAAAAACCCGCCCGCUUGACAUCCCUACUUGGGGAGAAGAAAAUUCUCUUGGGGAGGGUAUUGUAACGUACAACAGAAGGAAGAAGGGAGAAUAAGCUAUUGUAAUUGUUGUAACUGAAUAAAGGAAUUGGAGGAAAACAAAUAUUAGUUAGAAGGUAGUUAGUCUUGUACGCAUAUAAAAGGAGAGAGCUCUACUCUAUAAAGGCAUUCGAGAAUGAUCAAUAAUAUCUCUUUCUACCUUCUCACCUCUCUCUCUCUCUCUCUCUCUUUCUCACCCCUAUCUCUAGUUCUUUCCUCAUCACCUUUCUAAUUCUUCCCUCAUCUAAGUGUAUUCUCCUUCUAAUCCCCAAUUCUUCUUCUUUUCUCAUCUCUAUUUUCUAUUCCCAGCCAUUGUGCUAACACUGUACUACCCCUAUCUAUAACAAACUUCUAUCUAUAACAACCCCUAUAAAAUCCAUACAGCUAUAGUAUUUUCCCACCCAAAGUCUUUAUGUAUUUUAUUUCCUCUUAUUUAUAUAUUUCUUCUUAUAAUACGUGACAAUAUCUUUUGACCUUUUUUCUUAAUUCAAUAAAAGAUUCAAAUGUUCAACAUUCCAUAAUUUAAAACUAAAAUGUUUGAUUGGGAAGUAUUUAAAAGGGGAUUGUAAGUGUACUUCAGUUUAUUUGGAAUGAAAAC
rnacentral:lncRNA from 1 species